UACGUAGGGUGCAAGCGUUGUCCGGAUUUAUUGGGCGUAAAGAGCGUGUAGGCGGCCUGAAAGGUCAGCUGUGAAAACUCGAGGCUCAACCUCGAGACGUCGGUUGAAACCAUCUGGCUAGAGUCCGGAAGAGGAGUGUGGAAUUCCCGGUGUAGCGGUGAAAUGCGCAGAUAUCGAGAAGAACACCGGUGGCGAAGGCGGCGACCUGGUCCGACACUGACGCUGAGGCGCGAAAGCGUGGGGAGCAAACAGG
rnacentral:rRNA from 1 species